rnacentral:misc_RNA from 1 species
UUUCCGUAGGUGAACCUGCGGAAGGAUCAUUAAUGUGUUUGGGCCUCACGGCUCUUCAUUCCGACGCUGUGCGCCUUCGGGCUGCACGCUGAGGGAGCAUAUAUCCACCCCUGUGCACACACACGGUGGCGAGCUGGGUAACGGCUCGCCGCUGAUCUUUACACACGUCUAAAAGUCAUUGUAUGUUUAUUUGAGAUAAAAACACAACUUUCAGCAACGGAUCUCUUGGCUCUCGCGUCGAUGAAGAACGCAGC